AUACUUACUUGGCAGUGGAGAUACCAUGAUCACGAAAGUGGUUUUCCCGGAGCGAGACUUAUUUUUUGCACUUGGGAUGUACUGACCUUUGCGAUUUCCCGAAGUGGGGGAAACUCGACUGCAUAAUUUGUGGUAGUGGGAGACUGCGUUCGCGCUUUCACCUG
ensembl:snRNA U1 U1 spliceosomal RNA